GAUGAAGAACGUAGCGAAAUGCGAUAAGUAAUGUGAAUUGCAGAAUUCAGUGAAUCAUCGAAUCUUUGAACGCACAUUGCGCCCCCUGGAAUUCCGGGGGGCAUGCCUGUUCGAGCGUCUCAGGGACGAACCCUCGCGCGGGUGUACGCGCGGUCGUGGCUGCGGUGGCGUGCCCGAGGCGGCGGCCACCGCGCUGGAAUCCAUGGGCGGACGCCUGCCGCGUGGCCGAGCGUGAUAUGACGCAUUGGCGCUCGCACGCGGCGAGGCUGCCAGCCCUGGCCCGUCUGUCGGGCGGGGGAGAGCAAGACACGUGAACUCCUCGAAUCAGGUAGGGAUACCCGCUGAACUUAAGCAUAUCAAUAAGCGGAGGA
rnacentral:misc_RNA from 1 species